CCGGAUUUAUUGGGUUUAAAGGGUGCGCAGGUGGUUUAAUAAGUCAGGGGUGAAAGUCUGGCGCUUAACGUUAGGGUUGCCAUUGAUACUGUUAGACUUGAAUAUGGAUGAGGUAGGCGGAAUGUGUAGUGUAGCGGUGAAAUGCUUAGAUAUUACACAGAACACCGAUUGCGAAGGCAGCUUACUAAUCCAUCAUUGACGCUGAGGCACGAAAGCGUGGGGAUCAAACAGGAUUAGAUACCCUGGGAGUCCACGCUGUAAACGAUGAUCACUCGCUGUUUGCGAUAUACAGUAAGCGGCUAAGCGAAAGCGUUAAGUGAUCCACCUGGGGAGUACGAUCGCAAGGUUGAAACUCAAAGGAAUUGACGGGGGCCCGCACAAGCGGAGGAACAUGUGGUUUAAUUCGAUGAUACGCUAGGAACCUUACCUGGGCUUAAAUGGGGAGUGACAGCUGCUGAAAGGUGGUUUUCUUCGGACACUCUUCAAGGUGCUGCAUGGUUGUCGUCAGCUCGUGCCGUGAGGUGUCGGGUUAAGUCCCAUAACGAGCGCAACCCUUACUGUUAGUUGCCAACGGGUAAAGCCGGGGACUCUAGCGGGACUGCCACCGUAAGGUGAGAGGAAGGUGGGGAUGACGUCAAAUCAGCACGGCCCUUAUGUCCAGGGCUACACACGUGUUACAAUGGCCGGUACAAAGGGCAGCUACACUGCGAAGUGAUGCUAAUCUCGAAAGCCGGUCCCAGUUCGGAUCGAAGUCUGCAACCCGACUUCGUGAAGUUGGAUUCGCUAGUAAUCGCGCAUCAGC
rnacentral:rRNA from 1 species